rnacentral:rRNA from 1 species
UACGGAGGGUGCGAGCGUUGUCCGGAAUCACUGGGCGUAAAGGGCGCGUAGGUGGCGCGGGCAGUCAACGGUGAAAGUUCGGGGCUCAACCCUGAAUCGGCCGUCGAUACUCCCGUGCUUGAGCACUGUAGAGGCAGAUGGAAUUCCGGGUGUAGCGGUGGAAUGCGUAGAGAUCCGGAAGAACACCGGUGGCGAAGGCGGUCUGCUGGGCCAAGACUGACGCUGAGGCGCGACAGCGUGGGGAGCAAACAGG